GCGGGGGUGUCCGAGUGGUCAAAGGAGCAAGGCUUAGGACCUUGUCGCGUAGGCGUUCGUGGGUUCGAAUCCCACCCCCCGCACCA
rnacentral:tRNA from 1 species